rnacentral:rRNA from 1 species
GGUUAAGCGACUAAGCGUACACGGUGGAUGCCCUGGCAGUCAGAGGCGAUGAAGGACGUGCUAAUCUGCGAAAAGCGUCGGUAAGGUGAUAUGAACCGUUAUAACCGGCGAUGUCCGAAUGGGGAAACCCAGUGCAAUUCGUUGCACUAUCGUUAACUGAAUACAUAGGUUAACGAGGCGAACCGGGGGAACUGAAACAUCUAAGUACCCCGAGGAAAAGAAAUCAACCGAGAUUCCCCCAGUAGCGGCGAGCGAACGGGGAGCAGCCCAGAGUCUGAAUCAGCUUGUGUGUUAGUGGAACGGUCUGGAAAGUCCGACGGUACAGGGUGAUAGUCCCGUACACCAAAAUGCACAGGUUGUGAACUCGAAGAGUAGGGCGGGACACGUGGUAUCCUGUCUGAAUAUGGGGGGACCAUCCUCCAAGGCUAAAUACUCCUGACUGACCGAUAGUGAACCAGUACCGUGAGGGAAAGGCGAAAAGAACCCCGGCGAGGGGAGUGAAAAAGAACCUGAAACCGUGUACGUACAAGCAGUGGGAGCACCUUUAUGGUGUGACUGCGUACCUUUUGUAUAAUGGGUCAGCGACUUAUAUUCUGUAGCAAGGUUAACCAUAUAGGGGAGCCGCAGGGAAACCGAGUCUUAACUGGGCGUUAAGUUGCAGGGUAUAGACCCGAAACCCGGUGAUCUAGCCAUGGGCAGGUUGAAGGUUGGGUAACACUAACUGGAGGACCGAACCGACUAAUGUUGAAAAAUUAGCGGAUGACUUGUGGCUGGGGGUGAAAGGCCAAUCAAACCGGGAGAUAGCUGGUUCUCCCCGAAAGCUAUUUAGGUAGCGCCUCGUGAAUUCAUCUUCGGGGGUAGAGCACUGUUUCGGCUAGGGGGUCAUCCCGACUUACCAACCCGAUGCAAACUACGAAUACCGAAGAAUGUUAUCACGGGAGACACACGGCGGGUGCUAACGUCCGUCGUGAAGAGGGAAACAACCCAGACCGCCAGCUAAGGUCCCAAAGUCAUGGUUAAGUGGGAAACGAUGUGGGAAGGCACAGACAGCCAGGAUGUUGGCUUAGAAGCAGCCAUCAUUUAAAGAAAGCGUAAUAGCUCACUGGUCGAGUCGGCCUGCGCGGAAGAUGUAACGGGGCUAAACCAUGCACCGAAGCUGCGGCAGCGACACGAUGUGUUGUUGGGUAGGGGAGCGUUCUGUAAGCCUGCGAAGGUGACCUGUGAGGGUUGCUGGAGGUAUCAGAAGUGCGAAUGCUGACAUAAGUAACGAUAAAGCGGGUGAAAAGCCCGCUCGCCGGAAGACCAAGGGUUCCUGUCCAACGUUAAUCGGGGCAGGGUGAGUCGACCCCUAAGGCGAGGCCGAAAGGCGUAGUCGAUGGGAAACAGGUUAAUAUUCCUGUACUUGGUGUUACUGCGAAGGGGGGACGGAGAAGGCUAUGUUAGCCGGGCGACGGUUGUCCCGGUUUAAGCAUGUAGGCUGGUUAUCCAGGCAAAUCCGGAUAAUCAAGGCUGAGGUGUGAUGACGAGGCACUACGGUGCUGAAGUAACAAAUGCCCUGCUUCCAGGAAAAGCCUCUAAGCAUCAGGUAACAUCAAAUCGUACCCCAAACCGACACAGGUGGUCAGGUAGAGAAUACCAAGGCGCUUGAGAGAACUCGGGUGAAGGAACUAGGCAAAAUGGUGCCGUAACUUCGGGAGAAGGCACGCUGGUGUGUAGGUGAAGCCCCUGCGGGUGGAGCUGAGACCAGUCGAAGAUACCAGCUGGCUGCAACUGUUUAUUAAAAACACAGCACUGUGCAAACACGAAAGUGGACGUAUACGGUGUGACGCCUGCCCGGUGCCGGAAGGUUAAUUGAUGGGGUUAUCCGUAAGGAGAAGCUCUUGAUCGAAGCCCCGGUAAACGGCGGCCGUAACUAUAACGGUCCUAAGGUAGCGAAAUUCCUUGUCGGGUAAGUUCCGACCUGCACGAAUGGCGUAAUGAUGGCCAGGCUGUCUCCACCCGAGACUCAGUGAAAUUGAACUCGCUGUGAAGAUGCAGUGUACCCGCGGCAAGACGGAAAGACCCCGUGAACCUUUACUAUAGCUUGACACUGAACAUUGAGCCUUGAUGUGUAGGAUAGGUGGGAGGCUUUGAAGCGUGGACGCCAGUCUGCGUGGAGCCAACCUUGAAAUACCACCCUUUAAUGUUUGAUGUUCUAACGUGGGCCCCUAAUCGGGGUUGCGGACAGUGUCUGGUGGGUAGUUUGACUGGGGCGGUCUCCUCCCAAAGCGUAACGGAGGAGCACGAAGGUUAGCUAAUCCUGGUCGGACAUCAGGAGGUUAGUGCAAUGGCAUAAGCUAGCUUGACUGCGAGCGUGACGGCGCGAGCAGGUGCGAAAGCAGGUCAUAGUGAUCCGGUGGUUCUGAAUGGAAGGGCCAUCGCUCAACGGAUAAAAGGUACUCCGGGGAUAACAGGCUGAUACCGCCCAAGAGUUCAUAUCGACGGCGGUGUUUGGCACCUCGAUGUCGGCUCAUCACAUCCUGGGGCUGAAGUAGGUCCCAAGGGUAUGGCUGUUCGCCAUUUAAAGUGGUACGCGAGCUGGGUUUAGAACGUCGUGAGACAGUUCGGUCCCUAUCUGCCGUGGGCGCUGGAGAAUUGAGGGGGGCUGCUCCUAGUACGAGAGGACCGGAGUGGACGCAUCACUGGUGUUCGGGUUGUCAUGCCAAUGGCACUGCCCGGUAGCUAAAUGCGGAAGAGAUAAGUGCUGAAAGCAUCUAAGCACGAAACUUGCCCCGAGAUGAGUUCUCCCUGAGACUAUAAGUCUCCUGAAGGAACGUUGAAGACGACGACGUUGAUAGGCCGGGUGUGUAAGCGCAGCGAUGCGUUGAGCUAACCGGUACUAAUGAACCGUGAGGCUUAACCUU